GACUGAACAACCAGGCAAAAUGCCACUUUUGUGUCAGGCCGUACUUUUCUCCCCUUCGCCCACGAUCAGGCGUGCCUGUGCCCUAAAAAGUACGGCCUGAUACUCAGGUUACGACAAAUCAUGCUAUAAGGUUAUUAAAGAAGCGUGGCAUAGUUUGGAAUUUGGACAAUCAAAUAUUUAAUUACCACUAAAAUGAUUGCACAAAUCUCAUGAUUAAUUUUUAUUAAUAAUUAACCCACCCUCAACUGCCUUACAUACACCAUAGAUAUAUUAUAUACACUAGAUAGUGCCUCUAAUUAUUCUGCAAUUCAAAAAUUGAAGCCGUGAUUGGAGUCUCAGGUCGUUCCCAUGAAAUGUGAAGAUUCGUAUAUUUUGUAUUUCUUAAACACGGAACUUAAACAUGAAGUUAACCUUUUUCCAAAUACGUUUUUAAACUAUUCAAAUGAUGAAAGUUAUUGUUGUUUUUAAGCGUUUAUUAGGAAGUGGGAACGACCAACAUGGUCGCCAUCUAUUCAAAUGGGGGUAACCGCUGGAAUAUUCUUGGCUUCAAUUUUACUAAAAUAGAUGCGCUAUCUAGUGUAUAUAAGAUAUCUAUGACAUACACCGACUCACAACAACAAUAAUCACCUGCGUUCCAAGCAUAGCAACCAAUGAGAGCCAACACACUGAAAUCCAGUAGUAAACUAAUAUAGUAAACUUUAGUAAAAUAAUAUAUAAAACAUAUAACAUAUACUGUUAUAGUAUAGGUCUAAUAUGCUUUUGCCUUUAGGAGUAUAUAAGUCAUGAAACAGCUUUUAAAACAGCGAGGCAAAUAUUAGCCGCAUUUGAUGAAGAAUCUUCUAGAAGGUACAGGAGCUCGAGUAUCAAACAAAUUAUUUCUUUAAUUAAUAUCUAUCAUCGGGGGGUAUGCUACCAGCUUUGGGGGUUGAAUAGCCUACAUGCCAGGCGGUCUAAAAUACCGCCUGCUGGGUUUGGCAGUGUAAUUUGAUAACCACCCACUUUUUUGUCCGGGUCCAAUUAGCCAAUCAGCAAACACUAAAUAUAUUAAUAAUCAAACUGUCAAACUAUGUCAUUGUUUGGUUUGCAAAUGUAUAAAAAUAUGUCGAAAGACACGCCAUUGAAAGUUUCAAUCAGGACCUCUGAAUAACGACAAGUCGGACAAGAGGUAGAAAAGCAAGCGCGGAAAAUGUAAAUGACUUGUCGUUUGUGUAUUAACUGUGCUUUGAAACUAAAAUACGGUGCAAUAGAGAAAAUAUCUUAUAUUCUUAUUAUCUUAUAUAUCGUCGGAGAAAUGAUUUAUUUAAGGUAAGCAAAAGAAACGUUACGACAGUGGCAAAACCUUGGCCGAAAUAAGCCGAAUUGCCGGUUCAGUUCAUUUAGGAAUCGAAGUUAAUUCUACCUUGGAACUAUCCGACCGAGUUUGUAAACCGUGUGAGCGAAAUAUCCGAAAUGCAAGCGAACUGAUUGCCAUAAUCAAACGAGACGUAAACGUGUUGCCUGUGUAUGUUCGAACAAAUAGACAGUUGUAUAUUAAUUAAAAACCUCAGUUGCCAAUAUGAACUGUCUCGUCUCCCUAACCGGAAGCCGUGUGGUAACGAUUAACGAAUGCCUUAAAAAGUUCAGAAAGUGAAGCGGCUAAUAGGCCUAGGCGUAAUAGUCCUGUUAUAAAACCCGUUGCAAGAAAGACUAUACGGCCGUCUGUAUCUCUUCUCGUUAUAUUUUUUCGCGCCAACAAGAACUAUGCAAAAAUCAAACUUUUCCCAUAGAACGGCCAAAACAUUGUUUCCAAGGAAUAAAUCUUUAACUGCAAUCUCUUGCUCGCGUUUGACAAUCAGUUCGCGUUGAACAGCUAUUAAUUAAAGCGAACGCAUGUAUCAUUAAAGUGUUAAACGUAUGUUUACAUAUUAAAGUGUAUUCACUUUAGAGUGACAGCGGCUCAGACUCGCAGCCAAUCAUCAAUUCCCGUCCACUGGUGCAGGCGGUAUUUCCAAGGCUUACCCAAUUUUAGGAACCGCCUGCCAUGUAGGCUAGGGGUUGAACUGCCAGGUUUGUUAUUCUUAUUAUUCACAACAAUUAAUAGACAAAUUUGACUAACGCUUAAUGUUUAUAUCUUUGCUACCCAAUUCGCAACAGGGGGUGGGGCGGCAGAUAUUUAAAGUGGACAAUGCAAUUUCUAAUGAGGGGGGGGGGGGUUGCUGGCAAAAAAAUCGUGACAAGAGGAGGUGGGCGACGAAAAAUUUGAAGUGCAGUCGUUGAUAUACCUUGCACAUGAGGGGUUGGAGGGGCGGCUAUAAAAAUAAACAGUGCCCUUGGGAGUGGGCCAUAAAAAUAUUUGGGAAUAGAAGAAAGCUAGCCCUGAAAAAUGUAUUAAAAGUUGUAAGAUUCUCCUGUUCCGCUCCCCGUCAAUGAUAAGGCUAUGUGCAUAAUGAGCAGUGCUUGAGCGUCGGGACAGCUAACCUAGACGAAAGGACAGUUAACCUGGACAAAGUGAACGUUGAAGAGCUAGUUAAAUCCAAAUGUCAUGUAACGACAAAGUCAAAACUCUAUAACUGAUCAUCAAUGCUGAUUUGGACGCAUCGCAUCAAUUAAGAAAAACAUCAUUAUAACGAACGAACCACCUUGGAUG